rnacentral:rRNA from 1 species
UGCCCAGCGAAUUUUAUUUAGCGGCCGCAGUACCCUGACUGUGCUAAGGUAGCAUAAUCAAUUGGUUUUUAAUUGAAGCCUGGAAUGAACGGAAAAAUGGAGUCUAUCUGUCUCUUUUAUGAUUUAUUGAAAUUAGUUAUUAGGUGCAAAAACCUUUUUAUAGAAAAAAGACGAGAAGACCUUUAGAAUUUUAAUUAAAUAAAUUUUAAUUYUAURUUUUUGUUGGGGCGACAUUGAAACAUUUAAACUUUCAAURAGUACWCAUCAUUUAGAUYGUUAAGAAUAAAUUACCUAAGGGAUAACAGCAUAAUUUAUAUUUAAGUUUGUGACCUCGAUGUUGGACUAAGAKCUAUAUUAUUAACCAUUAAACUAGAUUGUUCUGUUCGAACAGAAAUCCCU